GAUGAACGCUAGCGGCAGGCUUAAUACAUGCAAGUCGAGGGGCAGCGGGGAUAGCAAUAUCUGCCGGCGACCGGCAAACGGGUGCGGAACACGUACGCAACCUUCCCAAAACAGGUGAAUAGCCCUCCGAAAGGAGGAUUAAUACACCGUAAGAUAUAGAGGUGGCAUCAUUUUUAUAUUAUAGGUAGCAAUACCGGUUUUGGAUGGGCGUGCGCCUGAUUAGGUAGUUGGUGNGGGUAACGGCCCACCAAGCCUUCGAUCAGUAACUGGUGUGAGAGCACGACCAGUCACACGGGCACUGAGACACGGGCCCGACUCCUACGGGAGGCAGCAGUAAGGAAUAUUGGUCAAUGGACGCAAGUCUGAACCAGCCAUGCCGCGUGGAGGAUGAAGGU
rnacentral:rRNA from 1 species